GAAUUUUCGACCGAAACGCGCAAAAUCGCAACUUUUUUUCCAAAUGAGCACCCAUCCGCGGGACGAAUCUUGUUCCCCAAAAAUUCAGGCAUGUUUGGGACAUCAUAAGGACCUUCACUGAGAAAUUUUGGCAAUUUUGCACGCGGGAAUCGUUAACUGCGAAUAUUUUAAGCGCCAGAAAGUCAAGAAAGCGCAAAAUCGCAA
rnacentral:lncRNA from 1 species